UACGAAGGUGGCAAGCGUUGUUCGGAUUCACUGGGCGUACAGGGUGUGUAGGCGGUUUGGUAAGCCUUCUGUUAAAGCUUCGGGCCCAACCCGGAAAGCGCAGAGGGUACUGCCAGGCUAGAGGACGGGAGAGGAGCGCGGAAUUCCCGGUGUAGCGGUGAAAUGCGUAGAGAUCGGGAGGAAGGCCGGUGGCGAAGGCGGCGCUCUGGGCCGAUACUGACGCUGAGGAGCGAAAGCGUGGGGAGCAAACAGG
rnacentral:rRNA from 1 species